rnacentral:tRNA from 1 species
GGUCCCGUAGCUCAGCGGAUAGAGCAAUUGAUUUCUAAUCAAUCGGCCGUAGGUUCGAUUCCUACCGGGAUCA